rnacentral:rRNA from 1 species
CCUACGGGAGGCAGCAGUGGGGAAUAUUGCGCAAUGGGGGGAACCCUGAUGCAGCAACACCGCGUGGGUGAAGAAGUACUUCGGUAUGUAAAACCCUGUCAGCAGGGAAGAAAAUGACGGUACCUGACCAAGAAGCCCCGGCUAACUACGUGCAAGCAGCCGCGGUAAUACGUAGGGGGGAAGCGUUAUCCGGAUUUACUGGGUGUAAAGGGAGCGUAGACGGCAAGGCAAGUCUGGAGUGAAAGCCCGUGGCUCAACCACGGGACUGCUUUGGAAACUGUGUUGCUGGAGUGCAGGAGGGGUAAGCGGAAUUCCUAGUGUAGCGGUGAAAUGCGUAGAUAUUAGGAGGAACACCGGUGGCGAAGGCGGCUUACUGGACUGUAACUGACGUUGAGGCUCGAAAGCGUGGGGAGCAAACAGGAUUAGAUACCCUUGUAGUC